AGGGGUACAUGUACAGUUUUGUUACACUGCAUAUUGAUGAAGUCUGGACUUUUAGUGUACCCAUCACCCAAGUUAUGAACAUUGUACCCAAGAGAAAAAAAGGUUUACCACAGUGGCUCAAGGAAAACGGAACCAGAGUAAGACAGUUUCUACUUGGACUUGGGGAACCAGCAAACUCAUUCACUUACAAUCAAGAACAAACCGAUUAAAUUGAAUAAAGGUCACUCAAAGGAGCCAAGCCCCUUUGUCAAAUCAGGAGCUCCAUCAGCCAAUCAGGAACCCAGAUGCCAGCGUGGGAGUUUGUCAGUGGAAAUAACAUUGCAUGACUUCCAAGUCUGGUUUCUUCAUUUGCAAGAUAUCAACCCAAUAGGAUUGUGACUGAAAUCAAAUGAGGCACCCAAGUCUAAUAUGAGAAAAACAUGAGAAAAAUUCCAGGAGGGGGACAUUCUACAAAAUACCUGACCAGUACAUCUCAAAAUUGUCACGAUCAUCAACAAGGAAAGAUUGAGAUACUGUCAUAGCCAAGAGACGCCAAAGGAAAAAUGACAACUAAAUGUAAUGUGGUAUCCUGGAUAAGAUCCUGGAAUGGAAUAGAAAAUGGGCAUUGGGUAGAAACUGAAUAAAGUAGAGACUUUAGUUAAUAACAGUAUGUUGAUGUUGGUUUAAUAAUUGUAACAAAGGUACCAUAUUAAUGUAAGAUGUUAACAAUCAGAGUAACUGGAUUCAGGGUAUAUGGAAACUUUCCAUUCUAUUUUCUUAAUUUUUCUAUGAAUCUAAAACCAAAAACUAAAGUCUACUUAAAAAAAAAAUCACAGGAGGCAACAUACAUAAAAGCAUAUAGUUGGUGCUCCAUAAUGUAACCUCUUCUUUUCUGGGCAGUGUGGAAAAACAAACUGUUGUUCAUGUCUUCUGGGAUCUUUUGCCCCUUUCUAAUCCAACCAGAAAGGUUCUGGGGAGAAUGUAAGUCAUCUCUAUAUUCUCAUCUGCAGGUAGCCAGGGGUGAGAAUAGCUACAUUUACUUAAGUUUAGUCUGUGGAGUAGUUUCUGCUACAGAAUGAUUCUUGUUAGACCCUGUAAGAGUUCUUUUGGCUCAGGUCCCCAGAAAAUAAAUUUACAAACCCUUAAAUCAGUUCAACGUAUCAGGAACGGCCAUAUAAAUCCAUUCUCGUUGUUUGCAAGAAACUAUUGUACGUUAAAAUAUUUAAGAUUAGGAACGAGACCUAUAUAAAAAUGUUUCUAAGAAAACUUUUUCCUAAACAUAAUAUAUAAGCUAUUUAGACUGCUUCACGUGCCCAGGAUAGAGUUACCCUUUUUUUUUUUUUUUUUUUUUCUGGGUUGGUGGUACUUUACCUCUCUUUUAUUGUACCAACAACCCAAAGAUUAAAUAAUUAAAGACUAUAAUCAGUUCUUUUUAGAAUGGAGGUAAAAAUAUGAAAAAUUUAAAUCCUGUUAUUUUUCCAAAUUACACAAAAAAAUUAACUUAUAAAUCAUAAAGACUUUCAAGUAAAAUUUUACUUUGACAAAGUAGGGAUUCUAGGCAAAAUUAACUGUAUAGUUUGACAACUCUCUUAGAUACCUCUCAACUUAUGAUGUGGAGUGGAAUUUUUAUCUGCACAUUAAGUUUUAAGUCAAUACAACAUUAAGGCAUAAGAUAUCACUUUCUAUACUUGAAAAGGUAUUCCAAAGUUUCUCCAUAUUCUCCCCCAUCAAAGAAGUUGUGCCUAAAAUUCAAACAAUUUGAUCUUGAAUUUAGAUGUAGCAAAAUUCAGAAAGAAUGUCAAUCAGUGGCUUGUCUAAAUUCCCACAGUGUGCUGGGAUUCACAUACUUACUGUUGAGGUCUUUGUCAGGUGGUAUGCCCAGUGACUCUCUGCCCAGGAUUUAAGAUUCCUUAGCUGUAUUAACACAUUUGAAAACAUUAUUCCGAUCAGUAGUCUCUAAGUGCCUUCAUUUUCUCAAGUACAAAAUGGACAUAAUUGAAUAUUUACUACAUCUUAGAGAAGUGUGCAGCUUUCAGCACUCUGAAACAUUUAAGAGGCUCAGGUGAAAGAUUAAAGAAUUAAGUGUACACACCGUCUUUCUUAAUUUUGAUCCACAUGAGUAGUAUUCAGCAUAAUGUAAUACAGCAGGUUACAGAGCAUAAUUUGGUGUAUUGCACAAAAUAUCUCAGAAAGCACUAGAUAGACCUAAAUAGAACCCAAUCACCUACUCUGUUAGUAAGAUUGUUUCAGAGAUAAUAUAGGUAAUAUUUCACAGCUGCUAUUUUUUUCCGUUAAAACACAACAUUUUCCUUGUUUAUUGGGCUGAUUUUGACCUUCAUUUAAGUGAAUAAUUCACUCAUUCCUUGUUAAUAAGAGGAAGUGAGCAUAAAAAAGAAAAAAUAAAAUUCUAGUUCUUGAGGCUAUAAA